UACGGAGGGUGCAAGCGUUAUCCGGAUUCACUGGGUUUAAAGGGUGCGUAGGUGGGUCUGUAAGUCAGUGGUGAAAUCUUCGAGCUUAACUCGGAAACUGCCAUUGAUACUAUAGAUCUUGAAUUUUCUGGAGGUAAGCGGAAUAUGUCAUGUAGCGGUGAAAUGCUUAGAUAUGACAUAGAACACCAAUUGCGAAAGGCAGCUUACUACGGGAACAUUGACACUGAGGCACGAAAAGCGUGGGGGAUC
rnacentral:rRNA from 1 species